ACGGGAGGCAGCAGUGGGGGAUAUUGCACAAUGGGGGAAACCCUGAUGCAGCGACGCCGCGUGAGUGAAGAAGUAAUUCGUUAUGUAAAGCUCUAUCAGCAGGGAAGAAAAUGACGGUACCUGACUAAGAAGCUCCGGCUAAAUACGUGCCAGCAGCCGCGGUAAUACGUAUGGAGCAAGCGUUAUCCGGAUUUACUGGGUGUAAAGGGAGCGUAGACGGCGAGGCAAGUCUGAUGUGAAAGCUAUGGGCUCAACCCAUAAACUGCAUUGGAAACUGUCUUGCUUGAGUGUCGGAGAGGUAAGCGGAAUUCCUAGUGUAGCGGUGAAAUGCGUAGAUAUUAGGAGGAACACCAGUGGCGAAGGCGGCUUACUGGACGAUAACUGACGUUGAGGCUCGAAAGCGUGGGGAGCAAGCAGGAUUAGAUACCCUGGUA
rnacentral:rRNA from 1 species